AGGUUGAGUGUGAUUAAAUGUAAAAGACAGGUUUGUGAGCAAGUUAAUUUCUCGAUUGAUUGAUUGGGGUUUUUGGUACUUAGAUGAAAGUAGCUAGACUUAGGGUCUUUAUUCAGGUAGUCAGGAUUAUAAUCCUACUGAUGCCUAAUAAGUUGUAAGCAUGAUAUUAUAGAGCUCAACACUUAAUAACAAACCAUUAGGCUCUCGCUUUCUAGGUUUGUCUAUUGACCAGUGUCGAUCGAUUAGUCUAUAAGAAU
rnacentral:lncRNA from 1 species